UCUAAGGGCGGUAUGGAAAAAUCCAAAGCUCUAUUAAUAGUAAAAUUGACACGCUAUAUUCUAGAUAUAAAUUGAAAGAUAAUAUCACUGCAAUAUUGAAAUUGCAGAAAGAAAGAAGUUAACAAAAAUAUGAAGAGAGACUGGGGGGGGAAAAAAAAAAAGCCUCCUGGAAGGAAGUGUUUUAAGCUUCUUAGGCUGUGUCUUCAAUAUUAAUGUGCAUCUAUCUGAAAAAUGGAAAAUAAAGCCCUGUACUGAAGUCAGAAGAAUGAGAAAAACCUCUGAAUCACUCUUACCAGUGUACUCUGUGGGCUUGCAACAGGCUAUCAGUAUUUCCACGGACUUUAAUUCCAGGAGCUUUUGACUCAUCUUUACAGUAACAGUGAAAAGCAAGGAGCACUCAUUGCAAGUGACUGUUUUGGUAUAAAAUAUAAUACUACUUUUCCAUGCAAGGAUGGAAACUGUUUAAAUGGCGUAUUCUUACUGCUGCUGAAAUGACCACGAUCGUUCCUUUUUUCUCAUAACAAUGAGACUGCAUCUCCACAAAAUGCCUAUGCCAUAACAAACGUGAUUCAUCUGUCAAUGACUGUGUAUGCUGACUUUAUACACCAUGGAGGCAGAACUACAGGGACAUCCAUCUGCUGAAGGAGAAAAUCAAGACUGACCAAAGGCACUGCAUCCUACAAGCAUCUUUUUUUAUUCUUAUUCUUAUUUUUUGAGCCUACAUCUGGCUAACUGAGCUGCAGGCAUGUGCAUUUUUGUUCAAGUCUGAAGUUCAAGGAGACAAAUUCCAUCCCAGAGCUUCUCAGGAUUAUUCCCAAGCUGCGUGACUUUCCUUCUAGUCAUUGUUUGAUUCCCACAAAGCUAAGAACAAGCUCACUUCUGCACCAUUAUCGGUGCUUCCCAGGGUAGGACAGUUCUUUAUAGUGUUAGAAUGGAAAGAUGAAAAGUGCAUUGGGUCACCACAGUGUAGCCAAGAGUAUUUGUUGACCUGCACAGUAAGCAGAUGAAGACAGUUAUAUGCAAUGUAAGGUUCAGCUUGCAGUCAGGGGAAGUGUCAUGGACUCUGGAUGCACCUGAGCAUCAGUGCCAUGAGUUUUUUUAAAGUAGCAAAGUUGCUUGAGAAAUGACUGUGUGGUGACAACUGUGAAAUUAAAGCGUUUGUGUGGGAUUGCAUUCGUGCAUAACACUCUACAAACACAUUCAAGGAGAUGCCAUCUAUCAAAUAACCAGGCUCAUCUCAAAAACAGCUUAGUGAAGCAUUGGCAAAAGUCCCCUGCAGCCAGCCAGAUCAAACUGCAAAUGUUCAAAAGACUCCUGCUGCUAAUUGAAUUCUACUUGCAGGAAAAAUCCUCGGAUUUUAGUGUGUCAUUGAUGAAACUUGUAAUUUAAAGGCUGUGGAUCAGGACUUGUUCAAUAGACAGACUGCAUAGUGGCUGGGUGUCCGUUAGCAAGCACUGCAGCCCAACACAAGGAGCUCCACAAUGCAGAUGGAGGCUGACAUCCUCAUGAGUUACAUCUCAGGAACAUUUCGUGCUUCAUAUAUUACUGACCUUACCUCCUAAAGCUUCGUGGCUUUAAUCUGUAAUAUCUGUUACAGCAUGGAUCCCACAAAUGAGAAGUGCCAUUAAUUUGUUUAGGAUUGCUCUCAUAAAAUCUUUCAUUUCUUUCUAGGAUUGAGAUCAAAGAUCGUAAUACAUUUUAAAUAAAACAGAGAAAUAGGUUUUUCCAGAUGUUAUAUAAAAUGCUACUCUGGAACUUCCAAUGUGAAAUAAAUAUUAAUAAUAAUAAUAAAGGAUCGUUAUAAGGAGUUAUGAUCAUGAAACAGUUUAUUCUGGGCAAUGAAAGCUACUCUCUUUAAGACCAAAGCAUCUCUACCCCUUUGUUUGAUCCUAUGAUUUCAGUCUGUGCCAAAAUUAAGCAAGUAAAUCCACACUAUGCUUAUAACUGAUGUAAAGUCUUUGCCUUACUGCUUUAGUAAACUUCUCUGUUGUGGACAGGAACACCAUAUCAUUUCAUGGAGCAAUAAAAAAUCUGUAUUUUAUGAAAAAAUUUUGACAAAAAAUUACAUAUAAUGUGAAACAAAAUUUUAAAAUCUAUUUGAUUACAAAGAACUUUGUUUUCUAAAAGAUAAAAUGGAAACAAUACAGUAAAAAUAGGUUAUUACAAAUAAAAUGCCUAUCACUUCCAAAGGCUUAAAUUAUGUCUUAAAAAAUUUGAAAUGAAAUUUGUUUACAUAACUCUUAAAAAGAAAAGCACAGUUGGACAGAACGAGCAUGCAUUUAUUAUCAAAAUGUGGAUGUACAAGUUGUAAAAUACCAUAAAUGUAUUAAAUAUAUGAGAUUGUGGAUGCUAUUCUUUUUUUUUUUAAAUUAAAAAAAAGAGACUUCGUCUAAUCAAUACUAAAGGAUAAUGUAUGUUUCUUUCUAUUCAAGACAGUUCUGGUCCAGAAUAGAUCCAUGGAAACAGAUUUCUUCACAUUUAUAACAUUUAACUGUGGAUCUGAGCAAAUUCUUCAUGUUUUUAGCUCUCCUUCCUAAGCUGCUUUUCAGCUCAGGCUCAGUCAGUCUAUAAAGAUCUGUCUUUGUCAUAUUUAUGAAACACUGCUGAUGUGUCUGAUCCUGCAUCCACAAGAGUCACUAGCAACAAUUUGAUUUGGCCUGGGUCACAUCUCUCACUACACAGCAGAAUGCAUGAAGUUAAAGAACAAAAUGAAGACAUUCACGGUGCAACAUUGCCAAUGGCCUUCAGGUAGUUAAAUGAAAUUAUUCAGUGUUUAUCCUAUUUGACACUACAAUCAUGUAUUUACAUCAUGUACAUCUGUUAUAAACUCAACAGCAGAUGUUUGGAAACAGCUGUGUCUAGCAGCUCCAUGAAAUUCAAUAUUGGAUCAUUUUAAUUAAUGGAGACAGAGAGGAUAGCGUAAAGUCUUCAAGAUAAAGCUGGCCCCAGUGCAACUUGUCUCUUGCAAACGGCCAGAAACAUGGCAAUAUUUGAGAGGCUGCCUAGUGAGUUGUUUCAAGUUUUCUUCCAGGAUUUUGAAAAGGAAAGUCAAACUUAUAAAACUGCAUUUUGUUCUUGAUGGUUGCUUUUUUCCAGUGGCAGAGUCAGAAGAACAGUCUUAGAUGGAAGUUCUCAGCCAUUUUCUCUGUGGACUUGCCCUCAGCUGGGGAUCCUGCAGGAGGACUGAUUGCUUGGGAUCCAAGGGGUGAGUAUGAAGGCAUGUGGGAGACGAUUCUUCCUCACCCCCAGGUGAAAGCCUGUG